GAUGAACGCUGGCGGCGUGCCUAAUACAUGCAAGUCGAGCGAACAGACGAGGAGCUUGCUCCUCUGACGUUAGCGGCGGACGGGUGAGUAACACGUGGAUAACCUACCUAUAAGACUGGGAUAACUUCGGGAAACCGGAGCUAAUAUCGGAUAAUAUAUUGAACCGCAUGGUUCAAUAGUGAAAGACGGUUUUGCUGUCACUUAUAGAUGGAUCCGCGCCGCAUUAGCUAGUUGGUAAGGUAACGGCUUACCAAGGCAACGAUGCGUAGCCGACCUGAGAGGGUGAUCGGCCACACUGGAACUGAGACACGGUCCAGACUCCUACGGGAGGCAGCAGUAGGGAAUCUUCCGCAAUGGGCGAAAGCCUGACGGAGCGACGCCGCGUGAGUGAUGAAGGUCUUCGGAUCGUAAAACUCUGUUAUUAGGGAAGAACAAAUGUGUAAGUAACUAUGCACGACUUGACGGUACCUAAUCAGAUAGCCACGGCUAACUACGUGCCAGCAGCCGCCGUAA
rnacentral:rRNA from 1 species